AGGGAGGGGCUCACGGGCUGGGUCCGUCGGGGACUCUUCACUGCGCCUCGGCUGAAAAGCGAGAGCCUCUCCUCGCCUUAGUCUUCUGGGGCUGUGGGUACCGCGCGAGAUAGGUCUUUGUUCUCUGUCUGCGAAGGAAUUCUGUCUUCCCUGUAGAUGGAGGUGAAAUUCAAGAGGUACUGGAGUGCUCCAGAGGAUUGCUUAGUCUACAGCAAGAGCAUGCAACACUGAGCAAAUGGUGUCUAGGAUCCAUGUCUGUCCUUACACCAUCAGGACUGCAGGGACACUGGGGCCAGCUGGCAUUUGCCAAAGGUACAUGAAAUGCAAAUGGAUAUACAGAAGAAUGCUUUCAUUUGUAGUUAUGUCAAGUGGAGAUGUAACACAAGAAACACAAGGGUGUUUGUUGAUGCAAGGACCACCAGGCACUGUGCACUGGAAUUUUGCUCAGAGGAAGCAAGCCAGAUGGGAAGAGAAAAGAAAUCCCCAGCUUUCAAGUGUCACAUCAUCACAGACAAUAAGUCCAUGACUGUUGUGGAUGACUGGAAUAAUCCUCUGCAUGGGAAGUCUCCUAAGGAAAAAGGAUUUCACUUGGUACUAUUAUAGUUGCCUUGGUUUAAAGCAGAGACAAAUUCAGGACUGAAGAUUUUAUGCUAAUUAUCUUUGUACUCCAGUCAAUACAGAAGGAACAGAUUGGAUUAUCAUCAGAAAAGCUCACGUGGUUCGAUUUACCUGAAGCUAUACUCAUUGUUCAGAAUUAGACUGAUGAAAAAGAAGGUUGAUUGGACAAAACCUCUUUUCAAAUUCUAUGGCUUGAGAAUCCAGUUUAACUGAUUUUUCCGGAAAUGUGUCAAAAUAAAUUUGAAAGAAAAUACUUAUAACUACUAAAAUAACUAUUGCUAUUUCAUGUGGUUAUGAAGCAGUCACAGUGAUAUGCCUUUAAAAUUUUUCUUAUUGCUUUAAGCAUCCAUCUAGAUGCUGUGAAGUAUUUGCUUAUGCAAUAUCAAAACACUUGUUAAGUUUUCUACCCUUCCUCCUCAUGUCUACUUUUCGUUAUUUAGAAGAACACUACCUGAAAUAUUUAAAGUGUUUUGGAAUCAUACAGCAUAGAGUGACUUAGCAUGACUUGAUUUUUAGUGACAACUGCCUUUAUGUUUGCUGAUGUUCUCCUGUUCAUAGUAGUUGGAAUUUUUUUGAAGCUGAUCAUUGUUUUUCAGAAUGUUCACCUUUGGAGAUAGCAAUUUCAGAACUAAGCUUUUGUUGAUAUUUGAGUGUGAAUCAUCUUUGAAAUAUCUGAGGAGAGUAUUGGCUUCUCUAUUUUUAAGUUAAGGUGGAAUGAAAUAGCAAAGAACAAUUCAUUCACUGCAAAAAGAAAACCCUUAUGUAAUGCAUGGUAGUGAUAGCCACUGAAACAGGCAGAACUGUGAUAGUUACAGAUAGUUAUAAGUUUCUUUUUCCAUUCUUCUGUGCUGAAAUCAUAAAUUAACUUUUAAGAUAUUUUUCUUGCAGAAUGUAUUGGGUUUUGUAGACUUUAAAAAGUAGUAUCUGCUAACAUGAAGGAUGAUUUUCUUAGUGAUUCGAGAAAAUGUUGCACAUAGGCACAUACUAAGGAUUUUGAAAAGCUGUUCUAUACCUUAUGCAGCUUGAUGAAUACAGUUGUAAUGAAUGAUACAUAAUGCAUGCAGAUUUGAGGUUUGUUUCCAGUUUUGUAUGAAUACGUUGACCACUUGACUGUCUAUCUGUUCUUACAAUUUUCUGUGAUACAUUUGUAUUGUAUGUUGUGAAAAAUGAGUCUUUUAAGAUGAAAGUCUGGCUUGAUUUUCAUACAACAGUAACAAUGACAUGAAGAAAGAGAUACAAAAAUGCAGAUCUUUUGAAUGUAAUGAGAACAGGCUACAUUUGUAUUAUUUCCUGUGCUUAAGUUUCAUUACAGUAAUUUUCCCAAUGAAUACAUCGCACAGUAUGCUAUUUCCUCUUCUCAUUACCAUCUUUGUCAUGGAGAAGAAGUUAUAGAAUCUUAAUGAUUCAGUUAUUUAAACCUUUUUGAUAGUCUCUGUAUUUUGAAUGACCUCUCUGUUUUACCUUUUCCCUAAGGUUACUGAGCUUGAGAAUAGGAAUUACUUUCAAAUCAAAUUACUCAACAGUGAAAAGGGCAAGGUAGUUUAGACUGCUAUUAUCACAAUUACAGAGAUUCUAGAAAGGAUGAGAAGAGGGAAAAAAAUAAAAGAAAACAGAGUCUGAAUCUUUCACUAGAUCUUUACUACAAUGCAGUGGUAAUUAUUGUAUGCCAGUGCAAUGCAAAGCUCACUGGAAAUCAUAGAUCCCUAUAUCCCUAUAUAUCCCUAAUAUUAGUACUAAGAGAUUGCUUCAGGUGAUAUCAUAUUGGAGUAUUGUUGGCUUUGAUGUCAAAAAUCUAAACACUCUACAAUCUAAAACCUGGGCAAUCACCCAGUGAUAUCUAAAAGAUUUGUCAUCUUGAAAAAUUGUAUAAAUGUGAUUGAUCACGUGAAUUUGAUAUAUUUCAGGAAUGAUAGAAAGAUGUGACUUUUCCGUGUUCAAAUAGGAGGAGAAAAACAGAUCUCUCUACAUUAGGAUUCCAGGUGCUGGCCAGUGAAGUUGAUUGGAAACUGCUUGGGAUCCAUAGGUCUUGGGGGAAAACUGAUACGUGAAAAGUAUCUGGUAAAAAGUAAACAUGACAUGAUGGGAAGUUGCCCCACAGUGUGACUCUGCCAGCCAAAUAACUUUCACCAUUUAAAAGCUUGACUGAGUAGCCUGUGGUGCUUCACAGUCAUCUAAGAUCCUCAACUGAGAAUAUCAAAUAAUGAAAGCCAAGAUUAAGGAUUCAGUACUUGCCAGCAUCGUUAGGAUCCUGAAUGUGUUCACUGAUCGUUCUAAAUACUAAAUCCACAUCAGAGGCAUAUGCCCUGUACUUUCUAUAAUGUUCAUUUUCCUACACUGGGCAGGAACAUUGCAUGAGGGAUUCAUGAAAAGUGCAUGAAGAGGCAAAGGAUUUAUCUGCAAAGAAUUUUUAUAGUACUGGGAAGCUAUAUUUACACACAUUCUCCAGUUUAUUUGAAUAAAUAAAGUGGUGUCAUGGGACAUGCUGCAAUACUGAUGAGUUUUAUACUCAUUCAUCCUGAGAAGUUUCAAUAGAUAUAGUUUGCCUAUCAAAUGGAUUUAAAAUUGUAUUGUCACUAGCUUGCUUUCUGCAAUGAUUGCUUUUGUAUUGCAGCUCCAUGCCUCAAUAGACACUUAGAUUGUCCAUAUCUGCCACAUUGUUCACAUGAGUCUCCCUAUAAUCUGUAAUAAGCAACCCUUCAUUUUAAUAUUAAAACGCAAUUUAUGCUCCUACAAUGAUUAUUAACUUAGGGAAAUGGCAGCCAAAAUGAUAUUUUGCUUUCUAUUCUCUGUUCUUUCCAUGUACAUUGCAUGACAUGCAACAGUCUACUUAGUUCAACAGCUCAGCAUAGUCAAAAAAGCAUUACAGAAGGGAUGUUGUGAGUACAGUUGCAGACAUUUUCAUGGUUCUUAUUACCAUGCUACUCACAACUAUAAUAAUAAACAUUGGCUACACUUGGCUUAGCUAUUAUUUGAAAUUCAUAUGAUCUGAAUCCUAAUUUUCAGGACAAAGUAUGACUUCAACUUAAUACAUCACUUAGGCAUGUAAUCUGUUUAAAACACAUUACCUUAAGAAUGAGUGCUAAAUGUUCUGCUGGAUUAGUGUUUUAAGACUUGGUUAAAUAUACUGCAGUCUAAAUUUUAUCAGAAGUGAAUCAAACUCUCUGCAAUUCUGAAUGUAAAUUCCUCUUUUUACUUUUUCUAGUUGAAGUUAUUUUAAGCCAUUUCAGCUUGGUAAAGGCUACUGAAAUAACAGCUAGAUUAAUGUGUGUAUGGAUGCAAAUGUUUUACUGGUCCCUUCUCUCAUCUUCUUAUAACCACUGAAAUUUUUGGCCUAUUCCAAACAGUCUGAGAGAAAAACAGUAAUCUCAGAGAUACUUUAAGAAAGAUGUAGCUGGGUGGAAAAGCUUGCUUAAAAAAAAAAAAAAAGGAAAAAAAAAGCUGCAGUUUGAGUCCUAAUAACAGAUCAAAUAACAGAGAACACAAUUAUAAAACCUAAAUCCACAGGGAAUCAUCAAUUUAUGUUGCUACUUUUUUUUGGUAUGUUGUUUAGUUGAGUUCCAAGGAUGACAACAGUUUCUUCUGGGAGCUGUUGGCAUGGUGAUGGCAGGUGCUUUCUAUUUAGAGUUUUGCAACAAAAACAGUGUAUUUUAGUUCAGUGUGAUGGAAUAUAUCGGCGCACUGUUCCUGUGAAAUCCUAAAUUCUGGAAAAGCUUUACUAGGGAUGAGAUGUGACAGGGACAACGAAGGAAAAGAGGCAAAUCUUAGACUGAGCUAAGACAGUGAAUUCACUGAAUUGCUUUGUUGAUUUGUUACUUAGUUACCAUUUAAUAAUUUCAUAACAUUUUAUAAAGGUUAAUUAUACCUCAUAUUUUAUGCUUCAGUUCUCACUUGCUUCCACUCUGUCAAGAAGAAAAAUAAGGUACGGGGAGAUUAAAUAGAUGACUGAAAGCUCUGCUUCAAGUCUCUGUUAUAUCUCCAAAGUGCUCUAAGCAAGGUACAUAGGUACCAGAAACACUGCAGUCAUUCUAAUUAAAUGGUCUUUUAAAGAUUAAAUUACCCUUGGCAAGUACAUUGUAUGUACUGUAGAUAUAUCCUUAGUCAGGAUGAUGAUAAAACUCUGAUUCCAGUAUAUAUAGUUAAGAUGACACUCUGGAAUUUUGCCAUUUCUUUAAAUAUGACCAGAUUUCACUUGUAAUCCUUGAGAAUACACUGGUUUAUUGUGCUAGAUUUUGGACAUGGGCUUUUAAAUACUUACAGUGUGAGAAACUCAACUCAACUCUAACUCUUCUUUUAAAUAAAGUUAAAAUUUAAUGAAAGAACCCUAUACACUGAAAUGCAAGCAUGGAAUAGCAACCAUUUAUUUCAAAUUUAAUACUUUGUAGGGCUAUGCUAGCUUCACAAUACCUUAGUACAUUUAAAGAACUAAUUAGAGCAUAUUUAUUUGUAGUCAGCAGAAAAACCACUUACCUUUCUCUUUGUGGUCACCGUCUUCUGAUUUCAGUAUGCUUCUAAGCAUCUACUGAAACACCCAAUAAUUGAGUUUUAAUAUUGGGAAAAUAUGUUCAUGUUUAGUAAAGAAAGAUUGUGCACCCUAGUCCCCUUUAUGAAUCCCUCUAAAACGGUGGCUUUAAAGAUUCCUAAAAAGACUAGGAAAUUAGAAGGAUAUGAAAGAAUCACUUUGGAGAAAGAUUUGUUUUUCCAAAUUAAUAUGAUGAAGGAACGUUUAUCAUUUCUCACCCUUUGUUUUCGACCCAAACUAAAUUC